rnacentral:rRNA from 1 species
UACGAAGGGGGCGAGCGUUGUUCGGAAUCACUGGGCGUAAAGGGCGCGUAGGCGGCCCUCUUUGUCGCGUGUGAAAGCCCCGGGCUCAACCUGGGAACGGCGCGCGAAGCGGGGGGGCUGGAGUUCGGGAGAGGAGAGUGGAAUUCCCAGUGUAGAGGUGAAAUUCGUAGAUAUUCGGAAGAACACCAGUGGCGAAGGCGACUUACUGGACACAUAUUGACGCUGAGGUGCGAAAGCGUGGGGAGCAAACAGG